CCCACCACCAGUAUCUGCUAGGCUAGUCAUAAUAUAUGCAUUCUGUCUGUACCAAGGUCAUAUCUGGAGGCUCAUGCUAUCCUUCCUGGGACGUUCUAGGCCAAGGGGACUGAAACAUGUGUUUAUGUGGGCAGUUGUUCUAUUGAGUAAUCUAGUGAUAAGAGAUGAGUUAAGAGACUUGGCAUAGAGGAUACAGCGCUUUAGUCUGUUGGAGAAACAAUCAACCUGUUAUCUGAAGGUGAAUCACCUUUUCGCCGAGGUUGAUUGUUUCACCUACAGACUAGCAUCUUGUCGGGGGGGUGAUAUUGUACAUGAAGCUGCCUCACGCUACAGAAACAGGAAAUAAGACUCCUUCCCUAGAGGUAGGGCUCCUUCCCUAGAGGCAGGGCUCCUUCCCUGGAGGUACCCCUGGAGGCAGGGCUCCUUCCCUGGAGGUACCCCUGGAGGCAGGGCUCCUUCCCUGGAGGUACCCCUGGAGGCAGGGCUCCUUCCCUGGAGGUACCCCUGGAGGCAGGGCUCCUUCCCUGGAGGUACCCCUGGAGGCAGGGCUCCUUCCCUGGAGGUACCCCUGGAGGCAGGGCUCCUUCCCUGGAGGUACCCCUGGAGGCAGGGCUCCUUCCCUGGAGGUACCCCUGGAGGCAGGGCUCCUUCCCUGGAGGUACCCCUGGAGGUAGGGCUCCUUCCCUGGAGGUACCCCUGGAGGUAGGGCUCCUUCCCUGGAGGUACCCCUGGAGGUAGGGCUCCUUCCCCGGAGGUACCCCUGGA